GAGUUUGAUCAUGGCUCAGAACGAACGCUGGCGGCAUGCCUAACACAUGCAAGUCGAACGAACUCUUCGGAGUUAGUGGCGCACGGGUGCGUAACGCGUGGGAAUCUGCCCUUGGGUACGGAAUAACUCAGAGAAAUUUGUGCUAAUACCGUAUAAUGACUUCGGUCCAAAGAUUUAUCGCCCAAGGAUGAGCCCGCGUAAGAUUAGCUAGUUGGUGGGGUAAAGGCCUACCAAGGCUACGAUCUUUAGCUGGUCUGAGAGGAUGAUCAGCCACACUGGGACUGAGACACGGCCCAGACUCCUACGGGAGGCAGCAGUGGGGAAUAUUGGACAAUGGGCGAAAGCCUGAUCCAGCAAUGCCGCGUGAGUGAUGAAGGCCUUAGGGUUGUAAAGCUCUUUUACCCGGGUAUGAUAAUGACAGUACCGGGAGAAUAAGCUCCGGCUAACUCCGUGCCAGCCGCCGCCGUAAC
rnacentral:rRNA from 1 species